CGGACGGGUGAGUAACACGUGGGUAACCUACCCAUCAGAGGGGGAUAACACUUGGAAACAGGUGCUAAUACCGCAUAACAGUUUAUGCCGCAUGGCAUAAGAGUGAAAGGCGCUUUCGGGUGUCGCUGAUGGAUGGACCCGCGGUGCAUUAGCUAGUUGGUGAGGUAACGGCUCACCAAGGCCACGAUGCAUAGCCGACCUGAGAGGGUGAUCGGCCACACUGGGACUGAGACACGGCCCAGACUCCUACGGGAGGCAGCAGUAGGGAAUCUUCGGCAAUGGACGAAAGUCUGACCGAGCAACGCCGCGUGAGUGAAGAAGGUUUUCGGAUCGUAA
rnacentral:rRNA from 1 species